rnacentral:rRNA from 1 species
GAUGAACGCUAGCUACAGGCUUAACACAUGCAAGUCGAGGGGCAUCAGGGUGUAGCAAUACACCGCUGGCAACCGGCGCACGGGUGAGUAACACGUAUCCAACCUGCCCUUUACUCGGGAAUAGCCUUUCAAAAAAAAAAUUAAUACCCAAUGGCAUAACAUGACCUCCUGGUUUUGUUAUUAAAAAAUUUCGGUAGAGGAUGGGGAUGCUUUCCAUUAGGCAGUUGGCGGGGUAACGGCCCACCAAACCUUCAAUGGAUAGGGGUUCUGAAAGGAAGGUCCCCCACAUUGAAACUGAAACACGGUCCAAACUCCUACGGGAGGCAGCAGUGAGAAAUAUUGGUCAAUGGGCAAGAGCCUGAACCAGCCAAGUAGCGUGAAGGAUGACCGCCCUAUGGGUUGUAAACUUCUUUUAUAUGGAAAUAAAGUCUGCCACGUGUGGCAUUUUGUAUGUACCAUAUGAAUAAGGAUCGGCUAACUCCGUG